UGGGGAAUAUUGGGCAAUGGGCGAAAGCCUGACCCAGCGACGCCGCGUGGGUGGUGAAGGCCUUCGGGUUGUAAAGCCCUUUCGUGCGGAAAGAACAGCCAUGCGGUUAAUACCCGCAUGGUUUGACGGUACCGCAGGAAGAAGCACCGGCUAACUCCGUGCCAGCAGCCGCGGUAAUACGGAGGGUGCAAGCGUUGUUCGGAAUUACUGGGCGUAAAGGGCGCGUAGGCGGUAAUGUAAGUCAGAUGUGAAAUCCUUCGGCUUAACCGGAGAACUGCAUCUGAAACUGCAUAACUAGAGUACAGAAGAGGGAAACGGAAUUCCCGGUGUAGAGGGGAAAUUCGUAGAUAUCGGGAGGAACACCAGUGGCGAAGGCGGUUUCCUGGUCUGAUACUGACGCUGAGGCGCGAAAGCGUGGGGAGCAAACAG
rnacentral:rRNA from 1 species